AAACGUUCUACACAAUCUGGACCACCA
rnacentral:sRNA from 1 species